rnacentral:rRNA from 1 species
GACGAACGCUGGCGGCGUGCUUAACACAUGCAAGUCGAACGGUGAAGCGCCUUCCUUUUUGGUGGGUGUGGAUGAGUGGCGAACGGGUGAGUAACACGUGAGUAACCUGCCCCCUUCUUCUGGAUAACCGCAUGAAAGUGUGGCUAAUACGGGAUAUUCUGGGUCUGUCGCAUGAUGGGUCUGGGAAAGAUAUUGUUUCGGUGGGGGAUGGGCUCGCGGCCUAUCAGCUUGUUGGUGGGGUGAUGGCCUACCAAGGCGGUGACGGGUAGCCGGCCUGAGAGGGUGGACGGUCACACUGGGACUGAGACACGGCCCAGACUCCUACGGGAGGCAGCAGUGGGGAAUAGUGCACAAUGGGCGCAAGCCUGAUGCAGCGACGCCGCGUGAGGGAUGGAGGCCUUCGGGUUGUGAACCUCUUUCGCCAGUGAAGCAGGCCUGCCUCGUUUGCGGGUGGGUUGACGGUAGCUGGAUAAGAAGCGCCGGCUAACUACGUG